AAUUACUGGGCGUAAAGCGCACGUAGGCGGACCAGCAAGUUAGGGGUGAAAUCCCGGGGCUCAACCCCGGAACUGCCCUUAAGACUGUUGAUCUGGAGUUCGAGAGAGGUGAGUGGAAUUCCGAGUGUAGAGGUGAAAUUCGUAGAUAUUCGGAGGAACACCAGUGGCGAAGGCGGCUCACUGGCUCGAUACUGACGCUGAGGUGCGAAAGCGUGGGGAGCA
rnacentral:rRNA from 1 species